CUGGGAGGUGCACCUGCGGGGUCCGUCGGCGUCCCCCGCGCGGUGUCGGACGCCUGAUGCUCCAUGGGCGUCUGUUUACUUGUCUCUUUGAGGGGAGGGACGGGCGACAGCUGCCUCCACCUUGACGCUCUCCUCACUCCUAAACUGGGGCUCUGGGGAGCAGUAUACCGUUGAAUCACUUUCCCCAUUCUGCCAACGUCUGUCUUCUGAUUGGAGCGUUUAAAUCGUUAUUGUUGGAGGCCUCGCGCUCACGGGGUUACCUGUCCUUACAGGCUUCGUUCCGAAGACUUAACCCCUGAAAGCACUAACGUGUCUCCGACCGAUGCCGGAGCCUGUCACUUACAGUCCUUGCCGCUUUCCCCGCAGCUGUCUACAGUAUUUGAAUUACUGUCUUCUUCGCAUUUCUGGUUACUAGUCAACAACUGUUUAAUUUCUAUCCAAGGAUGAUUAAAUCGACGUACACUGAAACAAGAAAUGUGCACUCACAAUACUAAAGGAUGACCUGGUCCGUGAUACUUUGGUCGCUUCCUCUGCUUAUUGGUUCGACAAGCCUCCUAGGUCUGAACCCGCUGUGAGCCCUACCCAAGGACCUGGGCGGCAUUUCAGGGCUCCUCCUGCAACUUGUCCACGACGAAUUCACCUGCUUCAAAGGCGAGGAUCACCGUGUGAGGAGGGUGCUCAUCUGGUCAUCAUCACUGCCAAGCAGAGCAGAAAUUCCCGAGUUCAGCGGAAGAUGUUGUGUCCUGGACCAGCCUUUGGAAACAGUACCCAAAGGGCAUCUAUCAGUGGAGAGGUGGCUCAGCCCCACCUUCAUGUGAGUGUUUCUGUUGGAAUACCUGAGCCCUAGCUAGUCUGUCCCAUUGGAUCUUGGAGACAUCUUCCCAUAGAUUCUUGACUGCCUCAAGGUUCUAAUUUUGGCCUGAACAAACAGCCUGUCAUGUUUCCUGUUGUCAUGCUUAGUUGCAGGUGUGUGUGUGUGUGUAAACCACAAUUCAACAACAUCAAACAACAAGUUCUUUAUUGUAGGAACUCACGUUCCUUUAAUACACUAAAGAGAACCUUGCCCUUUAAGGAGGGGAAGAGGAUGUGUGAUGUGCAAACGUAUUAAGAUGCAGAGCUCAUCUGGGCGUAUCUGGAGUCUCUCGUGUCCUACAGAACAUGCUUGCAGGAUCACUGCCUGGAGGAUGCAGUCCUAACCCC
rnacentral:lncRNA from 1 species